GGGGAAUAUUGGACAAUGGGCGAAAGCCUGAUCCAGCAAUGCCGCGUGGGUGAAGAAGGUCUUCGGAUUGUAAAGCCCUUUCGGCGGGGACGAUGAUGACGGUACCCGCAGAAGAAGCCCCGGCUAACUUCGUGCCAGCAGCCGCGGUAAUACGAAGGGGGCUAGCGUUGCUCGGAAUUACUGGGCGUAAAGGGCGCGUAGGCGGCGUCGUUAGUCAGGCGUGAAAUUCCUGGGCUCAACCUGGGGGCUGCGCUUGAUACAGCGAUGCUAGAGGUCAGAAGAGGCUCGUGGAAUUCCCAGUGUAGAGGUGAAAUUCGUAGAUAUUGGGAAGAACACCGGUGGCGAAGGCGGCGAGCUGGUCUGAUACUGACGCUGAGGCGCGACAGCGUGGGGAGCAAAC
rnacentral:rRNA from 1 species